GCCUUCGUGAUGUAAUGGUAACACACUCGACUCAUAUUCCAGAGGUCCAGGUUCGAGUCCUGGCAAGGUCG
rnacentral:tRNA from 1 species